AAUGAACGCUGGCGGCAGGCCUAACACAUGCAAGUUGAACGUGAUCUAUCCUUCGGGAUAGUGAUAGUAGCGCACGGGUGAGUAACGCGUGGGAAUUUACACUUCAGUACGGAACAACAGUUGGAAACGACUGCUAAUACCGUAUAAUGACUCCGGUCCAAAGAUUUAUCGCUGAAGGAUAAGCCCGCGUCUGAUUAGCUAGUUGGUGGGGUAAUGGCCUACCAAGGCGACGAUCAGUAGGGGGUUUGAGAGGAUGAUCCCCCACGCUGGGACUGAGACACGGGCCAGACUCCUACGGGAGGGAGCAGUGAGGAAUAUUGGACAAUGGGCGAAAGCCUGAUCCAGCCAUGCCGCGUGAGUGAAGAAGGCCUUCGGGUUGUAAAGCUCUUUCAGUUGCGAAGAUAAUGACGGUAGCAACAGAAGAAGCUCCGGCUAACUCCGUGCCAGCCGCCGCAGUAA
rnacentral:rRNA from 1 species